UACGGAGGGGGCUAGCGUUGUUCGGAAUUACUGGGCGUAAAGCGCACGUAGGCGGCUUUGUAAGUUAGAGGUGAAAGCCUGGAGCUACAACGUCCAGAAUUGCCUUUAAGACUGCAUCGCGUUGAAUCGCGGAGAGGUGAGUGGAAUUCCGAGUGUAGAGGUGAAAUUCGUAGAUAUUCGGAAGAACACCAGUGGCGAAGGCGGCUCACUGGACGCGUAUUGACGCUGAGGUGGCGAAAGCGUGGGGAGCAACAGG
rnacentral:rRNA from 1 species